rnacentral:piRNA from 1 species
UCCAAAUUUUUGUUGCUUUAGGGACCUAAG